AGUCUGCAACCGACUACAUGAAGCUGGAAUCGCUAGUAAUCGCGAAUCAGAAUGUCGCGGUGAAUACGUUCCCGGGUCUUGUACACACCGCCCGUCACACCAUGGGAGUCGGAAAUGCCCGAAGUCUGUGACCUAACCGUAAGGAAGGAGCAGCCGAAGGCAGGUCGGAUGACUGGGGUGAAGUCGUAACAAGGUAAC
rnacentral:rRNA from 1 species